rnacentral:rRNA from 1 species
CCUACGGGUGGCAGCAGUGGGGAAUAUUGCGCAAUGGGGGAAACCCUGAUGCAGCGACGCCGCGUGAGUGAAGAAGUAUCUCGGUACGUAAAGCUCUAUCAGCAGGGAAGAAAAUGACGGUACCUGACUAAGUAGCCUCCGCUAACUACGUGACCGCAGCCGCGGUAAUAAGUAGGGGGCAAGCCUUAUCCGGGUUUACUGGGGUGAAAGGGAGCGUUGACGGCAGCACAAGUUUGGAGUGAAAUCCCGGGGCUUAACCACGGAACUGCUUUGGAAACUGUGCGGCUGGAGUGCAGGAGGGGUAAGCGGAAUUCCUAGUGUAGCGGUGAAAUGCGUAGAUAUUAGGAGGAACACCGGUGGCGAAGGCGGCUUACUGGACUGUAACUGACGUUGAGGCUCGAAAGCGUGGGGAGCAAACAGGAUUAGAUACCCUAGUAGUC